GUGACCUCAAAUCAGGUAGGACUACCCGCUGAACUUAAGCAUAUCAAUAAGCGGAGGAAAAGAAACUAACAAGGAUUCCCCUAGUAACUGCGAGUGAAGCGGGAAAAGCUCAAAUUUAAAAUCUGGCAGUCUCUGACUGUCCGAGUUGUAAUCUAGAGAAGCGUUAUCCGCGCUGGACCGUGUACAAGUCUCCUGGAAUGGAGCGUCAUAGAGGGUGAGAAUCCCGUCUUUGACACGGACUGCCAGGGCUUUGUGAUGCGCUCUCAAAGAGUCGAGUUGUUUGGGAAUGCAGCUCAAAAUGGGUGGUAAAUUCCAUCUAAAGCUAAAUAUUGGCGAGAGACCGAUAGCGAACAAGUACCGUGAGGGAAAGAUGAAAAGAACUUUGGAAAGAGAGUUAAACAGUACGUGAAAUUGCUGAAAGGGAAACGCUUGAAGUCAGUCGCGUUGGCCAGGGAUCAACCUUGCUUUUGCUUGGUGUACUUUCUGGUUGACGGGUCAGCAUCAAUUUUGAUCAUUGGAAAAAGGUCGAGGGAAUGUGGCAUCUUUGGAUGUGUUAUAGCCCUUGGUUGCAUACAAUGGUUGGGAUUGAGGAACUCAGCACGCCGCAAGGCCGGGUUUUUAACCACGUACGUGCUUAGGAUGCUGGCAUAAUGGCUUUAAUCGACCCGUCUUGAAACACGGACCAAGGAGUCUAACAUGCCUGCGAGUGUUUGGGUGGAAAACCCGAGCGCGCAAUGAAAGUGAAAGUUGAGAUCCCUAUCGUGGGGAGCAUUGACGCCCGGACCAGACCUUUUGUGACGGUUCCGCGGUAGAGCAUGCAUGUUGGGACCCGAAAGAUGGUGAACUAUGCCUGAAUAGGGUGAAGCCAGAGGAAACUCUGGUGGAGGCUCGUAGCGAUUCUGACGUGCAAAUCGAUCGUCAAAUUUGGGUAUAGGGGCGAAAGACUAAUCGAACCAUCUAGUAGCUGGUUCCUGCCGA
rnacentral:rRNA from 1 species